GGAAAUCUCGCAGUUUCUCGCCACGUUCGUUCGCGACGAGCACGAGGGAAGAGCGAAGGCAGCUGACAGUUUGUCACACCUUCAUUCAGGCGGAAGUGCAGCAGUCAACGGCAGUCUCGUUUCAAAGGUUGGAGCCUCGCCAUGUUUCUGACUGGACUAGAAGAAGAAUUGUUCAACAAAAUUUCCUUACAUGGACGCUGGUGUCGUCCGCCCCUGCUGCUCGAGUUUGUAUCACACAUGGUGGAGCUCGGCAAGCCUGCUACACCUGUCGACAUCAGCACGCAGCUGCCUCUGUCGUCAUAGCAACCACGGCUGUGUAUACAUGUGGGUGGAUUGAUGUCUGUCUGCCGAGACUAACGCUUCGCCUCAUGUGAACUUUGAACUCUGCUGUUAGUCUCAGCGAGACAUUACCACCAGACUUCCGGACGAGCAGCACGAAGAUGGAAUUUAACAAGAAUAUAAUUCAACUAUAUAAUGACCACUCUGUUGACACUGCCAUUGUCGUCGUUCGCUAAACCGGAAGCUGUUUGCUCUAGAGACUCGUUCUAUGAGUUUCUUGAAACAUCGCCAGCAAGCAGUCCAGUAAAACAAGAUGGGCGGACUCCUGUUGCAGUUCGUGGCCAGGUUUGCCUCCUAAUCUGUCUCCAGGUGAGUCGUCUCAUCAUCAACUGGGUCCUUGCUACCUGACCAGAAUGUUGCUCCAUGGUUCAGUGCAACAUAUUUAAAAAUUAGCUGGAGUAUCCCAGUCUUUCGUGUGACUGUAGGUACACAGUGUAUUUGCACAUAGUAGAUCAAAGAGAGGCGAGAGAUACCGCCGGCCGUUCGUAGUGAAGUAGGAGAUAAAAAUUACGGUCGUGCCAGCUACCUUACUCAUUCGCCAUCAUUUGCCCUCCAAUUUCAAUGAGUUUCCACCAUCAGUACUCUUUUAAAUUGUCCAAGUUUGCUCGGCGUAGAACGGGUACGUCGAACACUGAAAAGGAUGAGGUUCUUUUCCUUUCAUUUGUAACUAAUUCUAACCGAAAGAGUAAACAUCCUUGGCGAAAGGAGUAUUCUUUCUAAAGCUUACCAGCUUUGGACAUUAACUGCCUCCCUUCCCCCAACACACACACACUGAGUAACACAGAUUGCCACUCUGUGUUGUAUAUAUAUACACACACAUAAAAGAUGCAUCAGAGCAGAAAGAUGCCUUGGAUAUACCCUAGUACCGGUGUCAAUCUUUUUUUCUUCCUCAGUGUGUUCUAUAGUACAUCCGUACAUCAAGCGAAAGUUUCAGCGAGAUAAGGUGAGAGCACAGAAUUAGAAGAGAUCACAGACGUCAGAGGUAGGUCAGUUUCAGCAUGAUAUUUAUGUAUACAAAGAAGUAAUUCGUCUUUUUUAAAGUUACAGGUGUAAAGUGAGAUAUGAACCUACUAGAGGUAGGUGUCAGGCACUAAGCAGACGCAUUUCAUCCCCACACACACAUAUUCUGCUCACACACAACUUUAAGGAGAUUUCACCCCACUCAUUUUUACUAUUUAGUAUUUUUUUUUUAAGUUAAAAUGGUCAAUGUAUAUAUUUUGUGCUUAUAUUAGGACAUACAAAUAGCACAAAUAAACAUCAUUUAGAAUGACAACAUCCCGGAAAAUAAAUUACCGAAAGCUCGGGCGUAUGAUCAGCCAGGACUGGCCAGUCGCUCACUCAGCUGCUAGUCGUGUACCUUACUCAUUUUUGAGAACACGACAACAACGUAAACAAGCUGCUCCUGGGGUCACGUGACUGUGCGCGUGGUGGUGCUGCUUUAGGAGUCGAGCAGCAGAGGCGGUGCUAAAGCUCAUGCAAGUAAAACUAAUUUCUCAGACGGCAGUUCUCAGAAAACCAACUGUCACGGGAUUUAUGAAGUGUUUUUUAAGAACAAUUUUUUUCAGAAAUAGGUUCCGAGUGGUCGGUCUACCAGGACCGUGAACUUUCUUAAUUGCACGACACAUUUGUUGUUGUUGAGAGCACCUGCACAUAAAGCUGUCAUAAAGCAAUCACGUGCUUUAGUGUCAUGCACUUUGCCAGGUGCUGCACAGCUUCUACCAGUGCAUGCGUCCGUAUUUGCAGGCAGGCCUGACGAGAGGGAGGGUAGGUGUACCCCGGUCCGCGGCUGUGGAGGGGCCCGGUCUUCUCAAGUAAUUUGUUUUACGAAAGGGAGAAGAAGAGGCUUCGCGAGGAACGAAUAAAUAAAUUUAGAUAUCAGAGAACGCUGUAAAGUAUAGGCUUCACCCCCCUGCUAGAGUUACUGCUAAGUCCAUUAAUUAAUUAAUUGUACCCAAAUAACGAAUGUGAUAUCACACGUGCAUUAAGGUAAAAGAUAUAAACUUGUAUUGUCUUUAAUCUUCGUUUCUUCAGUAUGUCGAAUUGUUCACGUCCACUGGUGACAUUUUGCUUUAGGAGUUCGAAUAGUUCGGUCUUCCCUUCAUUUCCCCUCAUUUACUGACCACUGGCACAUACACAGCUCUAGAAUGUUCUUCUCAAGCAGUAUUGUAAGCCUAGUUGUCUACACUUUUACUGUCAAACAGACGUUUGUUGUCUAUGCUACUUUACUAAACGAAAUGCAGAUAUUGCCAGUCGAAUUAUAACUUGCAAGCAUGUUGUUAUUUACUGGAAAAAUAAUAAACAAUUACAAUUAAUGAUUAACGCAGGGUGCCCGGAAAGGUCAUCUACCCCGGGGCUCGUGCUGGCUUUCGAAUACUGUAUCAUGUUUGCAGACCCAGUGGCUUAGAACAUGGUUUGCCCCCAUCCAUGUACCUCCGGUGUACUGAAAGCAGUUUAUCUCUGUCUCUUUCUUUCCCCUCUCUGUUGCUGGGGAGGGUUGAAUGUACCCUCGUUACGAGAAAAGCAGGGAGAGCGGUUUCUAAGCCCUCGAUCACAUAAACUUCUUUCAGAUAUAAACACACCACAACUAUCUUGUCCUCAUAGUCUGUAGACUGCUCUAGUCAAUAUGAGCUUCGUCUUGUCUCUUGUUAGUUCCUGUCUGAUAUUAUUGCAAAUUUACAAUCUAUAACUCGGCAAGGUAAUCGUAUUUUCUGAGCAAUUCAUUUCUCAGAAACGAGAAAAAUCGCUGUGACCUUGCGAGAGCGAAUAUCAUGUCAAGGCAAUACAUAGAGGAUUGGAGUGAGUUCCCGGGGAUCAGGGGCUCAGAGUUGCGAGGUCAGAGUAUGUCAGCUCCUGUCCCAAAGAUUUCUCGAAAAAAGACCUCUCUGUGAGUGUGUGUGUGUGUGCUUGUAGUGUGCAUUAAUUCUCAUGAAAUCUCUCCAAAGGGGUAGUCUAGUGCGUGUAAGUGUGAGACCAUCAUCAGUAGAACGAUUUCAUAUGAGUAUGAAGGGGCCUCGGUGUAUUUAUUUCUUGUUCUCGGGAGCGACUGUCGCUGUAAUGUUGUUUUUGUUGCAAGUGUUAUCCGGAGUAUGUACCCCUCUCCUUGACUAGCGCGUGGUGCGUGCUGUGUGUCCACUGCCCAUGGCCUGCCUCCUCUCGUCUGCCUCUCGAUCAGGCUCUUGAAACAGAAAGCUUCUACCAUCCUCCUUCACAAAGAUUGCGCAUCAGAUUAAGUCCAUUUGAAGUCGCGGCCACCAGACUUUGCUAGAUGUUCUCUCUAGUCUAUGCUGUAGACACAAAUGUGUACACGCAUGCGUACACACAUCAGUAGUUGCAGCUAUAGGGAGAUACCAAUACUAUAUAGCUCGGUGUGUAGCUAUGACUAUAGGGAGAUACCAAUACUAUAUAGCUCGGUGUGUAGCUAUGACUUUAUGGGGAUACUAGCCCUACAUAGCUCGGUAUGUAAGUAGUAUAGGCAUGUUGCAUCCAACCCCCAUUUGGGGAGCCGGAAGGGGAGCCGUGACGUCACCGCCGCCAUCUUGCCGGAAGUCGGUGGGGGCGGCCAUCUUGUCGCCAUCUUGCCGGAAG
rnacentral:lncRNA from 1 species